CCUACGGGAGGCUGCAGUGAGGAAUAUUGCACAAUGGGCGAAAGCCUGAUGCAGCAACGCCGCGUGAGCGAUGAAGGCCUUCGGGUCGUAAAGCCCUGUCCUCAAGGAAGCAAAGGACGGUACUUGUGGACGAAGCCACGGCUAACUACGUGCCAGCAGCCGCGGUAAUACGUAGGGUGCUAGCGUUAUCCGGAAUUACUGGGCGAAAAGGGUGCGUAGGUGGUUUCUUAAGUCAGAGGUGAAAGGCUAGGGCUCAACCGUAGUAAGCCUUUGAAACUGGGGAACUUGAGUGCAGGAGAGGAGAGUGGAAUUUCUAGUGUAGCGGUGAAAUGCGUAGAUAUUAGGAGGAACACCAGUUGCGAAGGCGGCUCUCUGGACUGUAACUGACACUGAGGCACGAAAGCGUGGGGAGCAAACAGGAUUAGAUACCCUAGUAGUC
rnacentral:rRNA from 1 species